UGCUGUGGAAUGCAGAGGAGGUGUUUCAGUGCACAGAGAACAAACUCUGAGAGAGAAGGGAAAGUUCUGUGUUUGAUCUUGCGGAUGCAAUAUGUGUCCUGAUAGUUUUCAUAAUUAGCACUGUAAAUAUUACUCUAAACAAAGCAUCAGUGCCACUGGGAUUCAGCAGAUAUAAAUCAAUGAAGUUGUCGUUCUUGGUCGGUGCCACUUUCGCCCUUUGCAGAGUGGUCUGACAGGUACAAAGCAAAGCCAGCUCCGGCAGCUGCUGAAGCCCAAACCUGGGGAGCUCUGGACGUCUCUCAACGUCCUUCUGGGAUUUCUAGCUCCUGUCCCCACGGCCACGGCCUGCAGGAUCAUCCCAGCGAGCAGAAGAUGCUCAAGGCUUGGCGACACUUUCUGUCAACCGUAGGAGGCCUCUUGCCCCGGAGUCAGCACCGGAUGGGAGCCUGGGCAAGAAGGAGGUCUGACAAGGAAGAGGGUGCCAAGAAGAAGAAGAGCAAAUGGCAGCUGAACCCCAUGGAGCGGAGCGUGGAGAUCCCUAGUGAGUACAUCCAGACACCCACAUUCACUAGGGUUACGAAAACGCCAUAAAAGUGAAAACCUGCAAU
rnacentral:lncRNA from 11 species